rnacentral:rRNA from 1 species
UACAGAGGUGGCAAGCGUUGUUCGGAAUUACUGGGCGUAAAGGGCGCGUAGGCGGUCCGAUAAGUCCUGUGUGAAAUCCCUCGGCUCAACUGAGGAACUGCACGGGAGACUGUCGGGCUUGAGUUCGGGAGAGGGAAGCGGAAUUCCGGGUGUAGCGGUGAAAUGCGCAGAUAUCAGGAGGAACACCUAUUGCGAAGGCAGCUCGCUGGGACGUAACUGACGCUGAGACGCGAAAGCGUGGGGAGCAAACAGG